rnacentral:rRNA from 1 species
GCAUAUCAAUAAGCGGAGGAAAAGAAACCAACAGGGAUUACCUCAGUAACGGCGAGUGAAGCGGUAACAGCUCAAAUUUGAAAUCUGGCCUUGGCCCGAGUUGUAAUUUGUAGAAGAUGCUUCGGGCGUGGCACCGGUCUAAGUUCCUUGGAACAGGACGUCAUAGAGGGUGAGGAUCCCGUAUGUGACUGGCCGCCUAACCCAUGUGAAGCUCUUUCGACGAGUCGAGUUGUUUGGGAAUGCAGCUCAAAAUGGGUGGUAUAUUUCAUCUAAAGCUAAAUAUUGGCCAGAGACCGAUAGCGCACAAGUAGAGUGAUCGAAAGAUGAAAAGCACUUUGGAAAGAGAGUUAAACAGUACGUGAAAUUGUUGAAAGGGAAGCGCUUGCAACCAGACUUGCGCGUAGUCGAUCAUCCGAUGUUCUCACCGGUGCACUCGACUGCGUUCAGGCCAGCAUCGGUUUAGGUGGUUGGAUAAAGGCCUUGGGAAUGUAGCUCCUCCGGGAGUGUUAUAGCCCUCGGUGCAAUGCAGCCUACCUGGACCGAGGACCGCGCUUCGGCUAGGAUGCUGGCGUAAUGGUUGUAAGCGACCCGUCUUGAAACACGGACCAAGGAGUCUAACAUCUAUGCGAGUGUUUGGGUGUCAAACCCAUACGCGUAAUUAACGUGAACGGAGGUGAGAACCCUUAAGGGUGCAUCAUCGACCGAUCCUGAUGUCUUCGGAUGGAUUUGAGUAAGAGCAUAGCUGUUGGGACCCGAAAGAUGGUGAACUAUGCCUGAAUAGGGUGAAGCCAGAGGAAACUCUGGUGGAGGCUCGCAGCGGUUCUGACGUGCAAAUCGAUCGUCAAAUUUGGGCAUAGGGGCGAAAGACUAAUCGAACCAUCUAGUAGCUGGUUCCU